AUUGAACGCUGGCGGAAUGCUUUACACAUGCAAGUCGAACGGCAGCACGGACUUCGGUCUGGUGGCGAGUGGCGAACGGGUGAGUAAUGUAUCGGAACGCGCCCAGUCGUGGGGGAUAACGUAGUGAAAAUUACGCUAAUACUGCAUACGAACUAUGGCUGAAAGCGGGGGAUCGCAAGCCCUCGCGCGAUUGGAGCGGCCGAUAUCAGAUUAGGUAGUUGGUGGGGUAAAGGCCCACCAAGCCAACGAUCUGUAGCUGGUCUGAGAGGACGACCAGCCACACUGGAACUGAGACACGGUCCAGACUCCUACGGGAGGCAGCAGUGGGGAAUUUUGGACAAUGGGCGAAAGCCUGAUCCUGCCAUUCCGCGUGCAGGAUGAAGGCCCUCGGGUUGUAAACUGCUUUUGUACAGAACGAAAAGGUUUCUACUAAUACUAGGAGCUCAUGACGGUACUGUAAGAAUAAGCACCGGCUAACUACGUGCCAGCCGCCGCGGUAA
rnacentral:rRNA from 1 species